rnacentral:rRNA from 1 species
ACGCGAGCUGGGUUCAGAACGUCGUGAGACAGUUCGGUCCCUAUCCGUCGCAGGCGUAGGAAAUUUGAGACGACCUGUCCUUAGUACGAGAGGACCGGGAUGGACGUACCUCUGGUGUACCAGUUGUCCUGCCAAGGGCAUGGCUGGGUAGCUAUGUAUGGAAUGGAUAAGCGCUGAAAGCAUCUAAGCGCGAAGCCAACUUCAAGAUAAGAUUUCCCACCGCAAGGGUAAGACCCCAGAAAGACUAUCUGGUUGAUAGGUCGAAGGUGUAAGUGCAGCAAUGUAUUUAGCUUAUCGAUACUAAUAGGUCGAGGACUUGACCAA